CUUCUUCAAUUUGCUGCGGACAAAUGAAGUGAAUGUGUGCAUCGAUGCCACCUGCGGUAAGGAUUGAGCCUUCCCCUGCAAUCACUUCCGUCCCAGGCCCAACCACAAUGUCUACAUUGUCCUGAACAUCUGGAUUCCCCGCUUUGCCGACUUUGACAAUACGGCCUUCUUUGAUGCCAACAUCGCCUUUUACAAUGCCCCAGUGGUCUAGCACUAGAGCAUUGGUGAUGACCAGAUCUACGGCGAUGUCAUUGGUGACUUGGCUCUGUCCCAUACCAUCACGGAUG
rnacentral:sRNA from 1 species